AUGCAAGUGACUGUGUCUUUCUCUGACAAAGGAGAACCAGGAGAAACUGGGUUUAUGCAGCAUAGGGGCAGAGAGCUGGAGAAAGGAAGGCUAAUCCACUCCAAGUUAUGCCCCCGACUCCCAGGGCAGUCCCACCAGGGCCUUUCCCACCUCAGGGCCUCUCUGUCCCUCCAGGAAAGAAGGAUACCCCCUGCCAGUCAAGGGCAGCGCUGGAGGGGUUUUCCAAGCUCCCUAAAUUCACAAGCCCUUGGCUGUCUCCUCUUCAAGAUCAGCCUGAUUACGUCAGUCCUCUGGGCUAAGCUAUUAACUUCUCCUUGUGAGGAUGUGACCGAGGCAUGGGUGAGGGCCCUGCGGGCGUGAAGAUUCUCAGCAAGUGGCAGCCAACUGCAGUUGUCUCCAGGAAGGUGCAGUGAUGGGACCCAGGGGUGGAGCAGCGGCCACGUCAGGUGACUUAUUCCUCGGGUGAGCUUGGUUCUGUGGAGAGGCCAGGGCAUCACAUUUGAGGCUUUGUAACCACACAGGGAGCCUGGGGUCACUUCGUUCCACCCCUGCUGAGUACUUGUUCUGAUCUCUUCCAAAACAGGGCCAGCACCGCCCAGCCCCUGUGUUGUCCCCACCAGCAGUACCCUCGUUUGACGAUGGCAGGUGCAUUUGAAGGAGUGACCAGUUUGCAGGGAACUGCACCAACCUUCUAAAGCACAGCACCAGACGUUUCCAGACCUUCCUGGCGUCCCAUCAUCUGGGGAAUCUGUUAAAAUGAAGGUUUCCAAGUCUCAUGCCCAGGGAGUCAGGCCCAGUAGUUCUGGGGUAGGGCCCGGGAACCUGCUUUUUUUUUUUUUUUUUUUUUUUUUUUUUGAGACGGAGUCUGGCUCUGUCGCCCAGGCUGGAGUUUCUCCGCUCACCGCAAGCUCCGCCUCCUGGGUUCACGCCAUUCUCCUGCCUCAGCCUCCCGAGUAGCUGGGACCACAGGUGCCCGCCAUCAUGCCCGGCCAAUUUUUUUUUUUUGUAUUUUAGUAGAGACAGGGUUUCACCGUGUCAGCCAGGAUGGUCUCGAUCUCCUGACCUCGUGAUCCGCCCGUCUCGGCCUCCCAAAGUGCUGGGAUUACAGGCGUGAGCCACCACACCCAGCGGGAACCUGCAUUUUACCUUACUUUAGAUCUGAUUUGAGCCUAAACGAUGAGUUUUCUGUGUCGACUUAGCAGGACUCUGGUACCCAGUGAUUCAUCUAACACUCAUCUAGGUGUUGCUGGGAGGGGACAUUGUAUAUGUGAUUCCAUCUACACUCAGUUGACUUUAAGUAACAGAGAUCCCCUCUGUGAUGUGGUGGCCUCGUCCAAUGAGCUGACAGCCUGAGGAGCAGAAACUGAGGGUUCCCAGAGAAGAAGAGAGUCAGCCUCGGGGUGGCAGCUCAGCUCUCCAUGCUGGCCUGCUGCAGGCACUUUGGAUUUACUAGCCCCAUAACCACACGAGCCAAUCAUUUUAAAUACACUUCUUCAUAUACUCUUGUAGCUCUUCUAUCUGCCGUUUCUCUGGAGAGCCCCUGCGGAUAAACACCCCUUGGGGCUGUGAUGAGGUUGAGUGACUGGCUCCACGCAGACAGUGCCAAGCUGGGCCCAGGCCACAGCGAUCACCCACAGAUGUGCCUGGUGGUUACUCCAGGCCACAGUGAUCACCCACAGAUGUGCCUGGUGGUUACUGCUGGGUGCGGGAGACGAGCAGUGACAAGUCGCACUCCCUGUCCUGGGAGGUUUCACCCUCCGACGCCGUACACUCCAGGAACCGCCCGGGUGUCUGCAGGGCUCCUGCAAAUGCCCAGGGUGACCAUCUCCCUCCAGAGGCACCCACAGACUUUGAGUCCUGAGGGGUGGAUGAGUGAACGGGAAGAGUAAGAGGAAAGCCAGGGCAGUGAGGAGGCUCGGGAGACAGCCAGGCCAGGCCGGGCUUGCUGGGGAGCACAGCAUGCGGCCCCCUCCCUGCCCCGGCCCCCCACCUUGGCGUCCCGUGCACACCCCAGCCUCACCCUCCUGAAACUCCUCCCCACCGCCUCCCCCCAGCACUGCCCCUCCAUCCUCCUGGCCCUGCCCCAGUCCCGAAUGUGGCAGGAGUUGCUGCUGUCCCAGAGAACCAUGCUCCUGGUUGUCCACUCUUGAUGUCUCAGGGGACUGAGCCUCAGGCCAUCGGCCCCACCUCAGCCUCUGUCCUCCCUCCCUCAGCCUUCUUCCUCACUGGCCUCCCUUGUCUUCAAGUGCCAUCUUGACCUUGUGCCCUCAGCCUUCUCCCUUCCUUCCCUCCUCCAUGAGGCCCUUUGGGAGGGGAGGAGGCUUCCCUCUCCUCACCUUCUUACCUGAUAGGGUUUGGCUCUGUGUUCCCACUCAAUUCUCCUCCAAUUGUAAUCCCCACAUGUCAGGGGAGGGACCUGGUGGAAGGUGAUCGGAUCACAGUGAUUUCCACUAUGGUGUGCUUGUGAUCGUGAGUUCUCAUGAGAUCUGGCUGUUUGGUAAGUGUCUGGGGCUUCGCCUUUCUCUGUCUCUCCUGCUGCCGUGUAUGACGUGCCUUGCUUCCCCUUCGCCUUCCACCAUGAUUGUAAGUGGCCUUAGGCCUUCCCAGACGUGCAGAACUGUGAGUCAAUUAAAGCUCUUUCCUUUGUAAACUACCUAGUCUCAGGUAGUUAUUUAUA
ensembl:lncRNA